UUAAGCGACUAAGCGUACACGGUGGAUGCCCUGGCAGUCAGAGGCGAUGAAGGACGUGCUAAUCUGCGAUAAGCGUCGGUAAGGUGAUAUGAACCGUUAUAACCGGCGAUUUCCGAAUGGGGAAACCCAGUGUGAUUCGUCACACUAUCAUUAACUGAAUCCAUAGGUUAAUGAGGCGAACCGGGGGAACUGAAACAUCUAAGUACCCCGAGGAAAAGAAAUCAACCGAGAUUCCCCCAGUAGCGGCGAGCGAACGGGGAGCAGCCCAGAGCCUGAAUCAGUGUGUGUGUUAGUGGAAGCGUCUGGAAAGGCGCGCGAUACAGGGUGACAGCCCCGUACACAAAAAUACACAUAUUGUGAGCUCGAUGAGUAGGGCGGGACACGUGGUAUCCUGUCUGAAUAUGGGGGGACCAUCCUCCAAGGCUAAAUACUCCUGACUGACCGAUAGUGAACCAGUACCGUGAGGGAAAGGCGAAAAGAACCCCGGCGAGGGGAGUGAAAAAGAACCUGAAACCGUGUACGUACAAGCAGUGGGAGCACGCUUAGGCGUGUGACUGCGUACCUUUUGUAUAAUGGGUCAGCGACUUAUAUUCUGUAGCAAGGUUAACCGAAUAGGGGAGCCGAAGGGAAACCGAGUCUUAACUGGGCGUUAAGUUGCAGGGUAUAGACCCGAAACCCGGUGAUCUAGCCAUGGGCAGGUUGAAGGUUGGGUAACACUAACUGGAGGACCGAACCGACUAAUGUUGAAAAAUUAGCGGAUGACUUGUGGCUGGGGGUGAAAGGCCAAUCAAACCGGGAGAUAGCUGGUUCUCCCCGAAAGCUAUUUAGGUAGCGCCUCGUGAAUUCAUCUCCGGGGGUAGAGCACUGUUUCGGCAAGGGGGUCAUCCCGACUUACCAACCCGAUGCAAACUGCGAAUACCGGAGAAUGUUAUCACGGGAGACACACGGCGGGUGCUAACGUCCGUCGUGAAGAGGGAAACAACCCAGACCGCCAGCUAAGGUCCCAAAGUCAUGGUUAAGUGGGAAACGAUGUGGGAAGGCCCAGACAGCCAGGAUGUUGGCUUAGAAGCAGCCAUCAUUUAAAGAAAGCGUAAUAGCUCACUGGUCGAGUCGGCCUGCGCGGAAGAUGUAACGGGGCUAAACCAUGCACCGAAGCUGCGGCAGCGACGCUUAUGCGUUGUUGGGUAGGGGAGCGUUCUGUAAGCCUGUGAAGGUGUGCUGUGAGGCAUGCUGGAGGUAUCAGAAGUGCGAAUGCUGACAUAAGUAACGAUAAAGCGGGUGAAAAGCCCGCUCGCCGGAAGACCAAGGGUUCCUGUCCAACGUUAAUCGGGGCAGGGUGAGUCGACCCCUAAGGCGAGGCCGAAAGGCGUAGUCGAUGGGAAACAGGUUAAUAUUCCUGUACUUGGUGUUACUGCGAAGGGGGGACGGAGAAGGCUAUGUUGGCCGGGCGACGGUUGUCCCGGUUUAAGCGUGUAGGCUGGUUUUCCAGGCAAAUCCGGAAAAUCAAGGCUGAGGCGUGAUGACGAGGCACUACGGUGCUGAAGUAACAAAUGCCCUGCUUCCAGGAAAAGCCUCUAAGCAUCAGGUAACAUCAAAUCGUACCCCAAACCGACACAGGUGGUCAGGUAGAGAAUACCAAGGCGCUUGAGAGAACUCGGGUGAAGGAACUAGGCAAAAUGGUGCCGUAACUUCGGGAGAAGGCACGCUGAUAUGUAGGUGAAGCCACUUGCUCGUGGAGCUGAAAUCAGUCGAAGAUACCAGCUGGCUGCAACUGUUUAUUAAAAACACAGCACUGUGCAAACACGAAAGUGGACGUAUACGGUGUGACGCCUGCCCGGUGCCGGAAGGUUAAUUGAUGGGGUUAGCGCAAGCGAAGCUCUUGAUCGAAGCCCCGGUAAACGGCGGCCGUAACUAUAACGGUCCUAAGGUAGCGAAAUUCCUUGUCGGGUAAGUUCCGACCUGCACGAAUGGCGUAAUGAUGGCCAGGCUGUCUCCACCCGAGACUCAGUGAAAUUGAACUCGCUGUGAAGAUGCAGUGUACCCGCGGCAAGACGGAAAGACCCCGUGAACCUUUACUAUAGCUUGACACUGAACAUUGAGCCUUGAUGUGUAGGAUAGGUGGGAGGCUUGGAAGUGUGGACGCCAGUCUGCAUGGAGCCGACCUUGAAAUACCACCCUUUAAUGUUUGAUGUUCUAACGUUGACCCGUAAUCCGGGUUGCGGACAGUGUCUGGUGGGUAGUUUGACUGGGGCGGUCUCCUCCUAAAGAGUAACGGAGGAGCACGAAGGUUGGCUAAUCCUGGUCGGACAUCAGGAGGUUAGUGCAAUGGCAUAAGCCAGCUUGACUGCGAGCGUGACGGCGCGAGCAGGUGCGAAAGCAGGUCAUAGUGAUCCGGUGGUUCUGAAUGGAAGGGCCAUCGCUCAACGGAUAAAAGGUACUCCGGGGAUAACAGGCUGAUACCGCCCAAGAGUUCAUAUCGACGGCGGUGUUUGGCACCUCGAUGUCGGCUCAUCACAUCCUGGGGCUGAAGUAGGUCCCAAGGGUAUGGCUGUUCGCCAUUUAAAGUGGUACGCGAGCUGGGUUUAGAACGUCGUGAGACAGUUCGGUCCCUAUCUGCCGUGGGCGCUGGAGAACUGAGGGGGGCUGCUCCUAGUACGAGAGGACCGGAGUGGACGCAUCACUGGUGUUCGGGUUGUCAUGCCAAUGGCACUGCCCGGUAGCUAAAUGCGGAAGAGAUAAGUGCUGAAAGCAUCUAAGCACGAAACUUGCCCCGAGAUGAGUUCUCCCUGACUCCUUGAGAGUCCUGAAGGAACGUUGAAGACGACGACGUUGAUAGGCCGGGUGUGUAAGCGCAGCGAUGCGUUGAGCUAACCGGUACUAAUGAACCGUGAGGCUUAACCUU
rnacentral:rRNA from 1 species